AACAGGAUUAGAUACCCGGGUAGUCCACGCCGUAAACGAUGGAUACUAGCUGUUGGAGGUAUCGACCCCUUCAGUAGCGAAGCUAACGCGUUAAGUAUCCCGCCUGUGGAGUACGGUCGCAAGACUAAAACAUAAAGGAAUUGACGGGGAGCCGCACAAGUAGCGGAUUAUGUUCUUUAAUUCGAUGAUAACCGAAGAACCUUACCAGGGUUUGACAUCCUUGGAAUUUCUAUGAAAGUAGAGAGUGCUUUAUUGAGCCAAGUGACAGGUGCUGCAUGGCCGUCGUCAGCUCGUGUCGUGAGAUGUUUGGUUAAGUCCAUCAACGAGCGCAACCCUUGUGAAUAGUUGUAUUUUUCUAUUCAGACUGCCCCGGUAACGGGGAGGAAGGAGGGGAUGAUGUCAGGUCAGUAUUGCCCUUACACCCUGGGCUAGAAACAUAAUACAAUGGUUAGUACAAUGCGCAGCGAAGCCGCGAGGUGGAGCAAAUCGCAUCAAAGCUAAUCUCAGUUCGGAUAAGAGGCUGAAACUCGCCUCUUUGAAGUUGGAGUUACUAGUAAUCGCAGAUCAGCAAGCUGCGGUGAAUACGUUCCCGGCUCUUGUACACACCGCCCGUCAAACCAUGAAAGUCACCAACACCCGAAGUCCGAUUCGUCGGCCUAAGGUGGGGGGGAUGAUUGGGGUUAAGUCGUAACAAGGUAACC
rnacentral:rRNA from 1 species